ACGCCGCACGUGUGACAUCAUCGUCCUAUCGAUCGUUUUUACAUAAAUGGAUACAUUUAGCGCUCACUGUGACUUGUUUUGUUGUUGAAAUUAACAAUUCACGGGUUAGUGGAUCUGAACGCAUGGAGGAUUGAGCACACUUCAACAAACAAGGUCAAUAAACUGGCCCGCGCAGACACCCGAAGCUUUGGCUUGUGUUCUAAUGAAGUAAGCAAUUAAAAAGGAUUUUAUAAAAGCAACAACUGCUCUGUUUAUGACAGAGGGGAGGGAAGAACAUUAUAGGGGAAAGUAGAAGUGAAGGGUUCACUGUGCAAUAGCGACUGCAGUGGACACAGAGCGCGUGCUGUCUGACCACUACCUCGUCGCGAGGAAAAGUGCGCAUGAGGAGCAGGAUCAUUCCCACAGAAAUGCGUAAUCUGCUGAACGUUUGGGUUUACAUGACCAAGAAAUGUACCCAGGUAAUUACCACACAUUGUCAAAAAGAGGGAGCGCGGAUUCAAAUUCAGAGUGAAGGAUCAAAGAGUCCACUGCCACGGGCGCGCGCGGUGACGAUGUGACAGCCCACAACAAUGCGCGUGAAGUUUGGCUCUCUGCAUGCGGACGCCUUGAAUUUGGCAAUUUUACAAGAUAAGGAAUUCAAUUCAAGCUUGAGAUGAAAACGGAAUCACAUUUCUUUAUAAUAUUUUUUUAAUAUAGGUUUACACCUUUAAAAUUAUGAUAAUAUUUAGAAUUGCUAAAACAUCAUCAUGAAUUAUUAAAACGCACAUGUAAAGAUACGAGAAUGUUGCAUUUAAAGGGGACAUAUCAUGGAAAUCUGACUUGUUCCAUGUUUAAGUGCUAUAAUUGGGUCCCCGGUGCUUCUAUCAACCUAGAUAAUGUGAAAAAGAUUUUGAGCUAAAACUUUACAUAUACUUUGGGGACACCAAAGCUUU